rnacentral:rRNA from 1 species
UACGUAGGGGGCAAGCGUUGUUCGGAAUUACUGGGCGUAAAGGGCGCGUAGGCGGCUCGGCAAGUCAGGUGUGAAAGGCCUGGGCUCAACCUGGGAAUUGCUUUUGAAACUGCCGAGCUAGAGUGCGGAAGGGGCAACUGGAAUUCCCAGUGUAGCGGUGAAAUGCGUAGAUAUUGGGAAGAACACCUGAGGCGAAGGCGGGUUGCUGGGCCGACACUGACGCGGAUGCGCGAAAGCCAGGGGAGCGAACGGG